rnacentral:rRNA from 1 species
UACGGGGGGGGCAAGCGUUGUUCGGAAUUACUGGGCGUAAAGGGCUCGUAGGUGGCCAACUAAGUCAGACGUGAAAUCCCUCGGCUUAACCGGGGAACUGCGUCUGAUACUGGAUGGCUUGAGUUUGGGAGAGGGACGCGGAAUUCCAGGUGUAGCGGUGAAAUGCGUAGAUAUCUGGAGGAACACCGGUGGCGAAGGCGGCGUCCUGGACCGGUAUUGACGCUGAGGAGCGAAAGCCAGGGGAGCAAACGGG